AACGAACGCUGGCGGCAUGCCUAACACAUGCAAGUCGAACGAGACCUUCGGGUCUAGUGGCGCACGGGUGCGUAACGCGUGGGAACCUGCCCUUAGGUUCGGAAUAACUCCCCGAAAGGGGUGCUAAUACCGGAUAAUGUCUUCGGACCAAAGAUUUAUCGCCUUUGGAUGGGCCCGCGUUGGAUUAGCUAGUUGGUAGGGUAAAAGCCUACCAAGGCGACGAUCCAUAGCUGGUCUGAGAGGAUGAUCAGCCACACUGGGACUGAGACACGGCCCAGACUCCUACGGGAGGCAGCAGUGGGGAAUAUUGGACAAUGGGCGAAAGCCUGAUCCAGAAAUGCCGCGUGAGUGAUGAAGGCCUUAGGGUUGUAAAGCUCUUUUACCCGGGAUGAUAAUGACAGUACCGGGAGAAUAAGCUCCGGCUAACUCCGU
rnacentral:rRNA from 1 species